CUUUCUCUUUUUGAAACCCAGACGAAAUUAGUGUUUCUUUCUUUACUUAGCUUUUACUCAGAUAAUAUGAAAACUUGUUUUCAUAUUACCUAGUAAAUUCUGAGUAAAGAGGGGCAGUUGUCAACACCCAAUUUCGUCCGGUUGAAUAAAUAAUAGAACUUGUUUUUAUUUUUGUCUUAUUUUAUUUUUAUUUUGUUAUUUUUAAUUUUUAUUUUACUAUUUGGUAUUUGAUUUAAUUUUUUAUUUUUUUAUUUGAUUUGAUUCUUUUUUGGCAAAAAGAAAAGAAAAAAAAAGAACAAAAAAAAAGAACAAAAAAAACGUAAAGGAAAAAGAAAGAAAAAAAGAAAAAGAAUAAAAGAGGAAAAGGGAAAAGAAAAAUAAGAAAAAAAAGAAGAAAAAAGGAAAAAGAAAAAC
rnacentral:lncRNA from 1 species